AACAUCUGUUCGACUUGAGUAAAAACAUCAUGCUUCUUGUGUAAUGUCGAAACCAAGCAAAUUCGUCAGUCAGGUAAAGAAAGCGACAGAGAGAUCCCGACAACGUUGAAAUAAACGGGAAUAUGAGAAAGCAAGAAAAAGAGACCCAAAUAUGUGAAUAAUUUUCGCUCCCAUCAGUCAGUCAGUUUUGGGUGCGAGUGGGUGGGGAAAAGUGACGAUAAGCGAUUCGUUUCACACUAGAAUGGGUCCGCUUUUUUGUGCUACGGCAAACCUUGAGGGAUUGAAAACGUCAAUUAUUUGAGACAUUUGGGCAUUUUUCGGACAUACACGUGUGGAUGGGAGGUCUUGAGGUCAUUAACAUCUCUGUCCUGAUUGGUAAACGUUUCCACCGGGAAAUUUGGGAACUGGACAAUGGCUAAGUAAUAAAUGGCCGAUUCGAACUCUUUGAAAUGCUCCGUUAUUGUCAAUGGAUCACAUAAAUAUUAUUCCAUUUAGGUGUCAUCCGCCACAUGUGCGUUUUAAGGACACUUUUGAGAUCAUAAACCUGUGUUUUCAGGUGAUAACUCAUCGGUGAUGAUGAGGUUGCUAAACGAGACUCUCAAUGACACAACUCGUGGCAGAAUUAAUUACUAUCAACAGUCACUUUUCAUCUACGGAUUAGGAACGUUUUGAACACUCGAGAACGCUUCUAUAUUUUCUGCUAUGCCCGACCUCAAGUGAAGGCUAGCCUUAAGAAAAAAAGGCCUGUAUUUAUGCUAGAUUACACGUGGAUUAUGCUGAUAUGGCGGUAUUAUUAUCCGACCAAACACCACAACCCUGCAAGAACAUGCCAAACCAAUUUUCCAUAAUGCACCCAUAAACAUGCAACAAAAACCGUGAGAAAGCCACAAUUUCAAAGGCUCGGCGUAAACCGCAAAGCCUUUGGAAAAUUUUUCUAGAUUUGGAACGAAAUGGCAAUGAGUUGGCACAAUCAUAUGGCAAGAAACUCAUUUUAGGUCAGACCCCAUAUUUCAAACUUGGCCUUUAUUGAGAGUCGAAUUCUCCAUGUGUUUUAAGUCAAAAUAAAUCGUGCUUAACUGCCAAUCAAUGCCAAAAAUGGCUGGAUUGAACGUCCUCGUUACUCCGACGAGAAAAGUUUGGAAUACCAGGCCUUGGGAUAAUCGUCAUAAAGCUGUUGGUUUGGUAUUUUUGAAUUGAUUCUUUUCGGCGAACUCAAAUUCUUGACAUUUACUGGAGGCCAACAAUUCAAAGGAAAAGUAUGUUUGGACUGCUCAGAAAGAGUGGGUUAAUGUGAGUCCUUAAUCAUUCCAUAUUUCUUGCCAGCCGACAAUUUACGUACAUCCCGCUCUCUCGAAACUGUCGCAACAAAGACAUUCAAAUGUGUCAUAAACAUAAUUGGUCAAUGCAGAUUUCUGGAGAGGAAAGACGAUCGAAGAUGAACCGAUUGCUGCUUUUGAUCGGGUGACAUUAAGAAACCUUUCACCUGGGAUGAUUUCCCUCUGAUCGCUGAUGGUGAUGUUGUCUUGACUUUUCUCUUCAAUACCUCCUAACCCGACCAUAUGGACAUUCCAGGUUCAUCCUACAUUCCGGCUUUUAUUAGAUGAAAAGAAAUCUGGAACAUGAGUGCAUGUUAAAACCUCUUCGAUUUCACUCGAGGCAAUUUCCAGCAUCAAGGAAGGUAUUUGAAGUGCGAUCCAAAGUUGGAAAAUGUGACUCGUCCUUGUAUUUACAGCCAAGUGUGUUCUUGAAGUGUCUUAUGUGCGGGUGGAAAUGGGCGACGCCUCAUUAACCUGACUGAUCCUUAUCUCAUGAAGCGAAGCCUACGAAGAUGAGCUCUGAUCAUUUCUCGACUCUCAUCAGACCUUGGCACGGACAUCUUAGUUGCACAUUUCAUUUUUGAACUUACCUUAUGGAUUUUUCUUAGAUCUACGGAGAUCUUCAAAAGAGGUUAACCCACUAAUCACUCAGUCGAAUUCCGUCGAAUGGAAGGAAUGGUCCACUAGCGUGACGUGCAAGGUCCACCAAUCUCCAUGAAAAAGUCCACAUAAACACACUAAGAUAGCAGAACAAGUUCCUAAAGCCAACAACAGCCCAAAGCCAGGCCUAAAGUGGAUAGUGAGGCGGAAAAACGGAGGCACUCUCUUCGCGUUUAAUGAGCCUCCUCCGGACACCCAAGACGAGCUUGAAAACAAGGUUUGCCCGAAGACAAGAUGAACUCCUCGGUACGACCAGAAAGAAGGCCGAAGAGAUUUGAAAUCUGAAGCUGGCCUUGUGGCCUUUGACUUGGCCUUGUCGAAGGAUGUUGUGAGCUAUCGGGCUCCCUUAAUUGAACUUGUUAGCCUCGGAAUGAAUUUCCUUAAGAGCCAAACAGUCGGUUCCAGAUUGUUGGCCUCUAAUCUGCCUCUUUGAUCUCAACUUUCGAAGCUUUUUGUUCUUGCGUUGCUGGUAACUUUUUUUUGUUGAGAUACUUGGGGAUUUUUCAACCUCGAGAUUUUCGGAGUGCAGAUAAAAAUUGCAUUUAAUCAGACCAACUGAACUGUGUCUCUCUAGUUUUUUCCCGCUCUAUUUUAUGUUCAAGAAGACAUUGCCAUGAGUUGAGUUCUUCGCCAAGCUUAUUCACUUUUACCGGUCUGGAUGC